AUGCAGCCCUGCAUUAGUGUGGAAUCAGUUCAAGAAAUUCAGGAAAAAAAUAACAGUUUAGAAUUAAACUCAAAACCAAAUCAAAGCAUCGCCCUUUUUUCUCUAUUAUUGUCCUACCUCUGCAUCGAUGUUCGUCGUUGUGUUUCGCGAUCUUACAAUCCUCUUCUCUUUCAAUUCUGUUGCAGACUUUGUUAG